UGGGGCCAGGCACCCCCAGCCCAGCACAUGGGGAGCAGCCAGGAGGAGGGACCUUCCCCAUGAACGGCUGAGCCCAGGAGGGUGUCCAGCCCGGGCCCAGCACACCUGGGGGCAGGCGGCCAGCCUUUCUGGUCUUUGACCCUGAAAGCUGCAGCUCCCAGCCCAUCAGCUUGAUCUUCUCCCCAAAACCAUUCUCUGGGUUACUUGGUCUGGGCUGCCAGGCUGCCGGGACAGCCCCCUCUCCUGGGAGUUGCACGGCCACCCACCCAAAAGCAGUAAGGGUCCCCCACAGGGGGUAGAGUGGGCUGGGGGCACCUUCUCUGCAGAUUCCAGGCCUGGGAUUCUGGAAGGGGAUUUAAAGGGGCACCAGUGGAGCCUGGAUCGCAGCCGGAGAGACGGCAGAACGCGUACUGGCUGUAGGAGAUGCAGCGGCCGGAACAGGAACAAGGGAGGGGCUCUCAGGCCUGGGCACCUGUCAGCCGGAUGGGGCAGGGCCGACCAGGAUAUCUGGCCGUGGCUGCCCCUCUGGAGGAGCGAAGAAGAGGGAAGAGAGGACAAGUGGUUCUGGAGGACUUCCUGGAGGAGGCGGGGUAGAGAUUUGCAUAGUCAAC